AGCUUGCGCACGCAGGAGCCACUCACAGGAAGCUGCGAGGCACCCACACACAGCUCACAGCUCAAGCAAGCAAAAUAUCUCACUAAGACUCGCACAUAGCUCCAAGCUCAUAGUACAAGCAAGACGCCGGCCGUGCUGGAAACUACACGGAGACUGGACGUGUCCGGCAACUAGCAAUUGGAGGCUUGCGAAUGCAGGAAACUAAGGAUGUCCAUGGACUUCUUGGGCAUAUCUGAACAGUACGUACUGUCUCAUAUCUACUACCUCUAUACCAAAAUAUAAGACGUUUUACAGUUUAAUUUGGACUACAAAAACGUCUUAUAUUUUGGUAGGGAAGGAGUAGUUCAUCUAGGACCAGCCAAGACAGUGUCUCAUGAACUCUUUGAUUCCGAUCGAUCCUUCGGUGCAAAAUGAUUUUUCAUUUACUAGUUGGUUGGCGUCACAGUUUUGGUACCGCCGUGUGAAUGUUUGCUUCAGUGAGUAGUUGUAAAUUUAUGCACCGCUUGCUUCGGGCCGGGGAUAGGACAUUAGGACAUCUUCAACAGUUGUAUGAUCAUUUUGAUAAAGUUAUCACCUAGACUAUUUUGA